AAUACUGUGAUGAGGGCACUUUCGUAAUAACUCCUUGAAUCGCUCCCGUGCCUCAUAUAAAUAUUCUUCAUCAAGUUGUUGAAAUGAAGUGAUUUCAUUUCAGAUCUU
rfam:Gossypium arboreum cultivar AKA8401 contig_84306_1, whole genome shotgun sequence.